rnacentral:rRNA from 1 species
GACGAACUGUCCUAACGUUGUUCGGAAUCACUGGGCUUAAAGGGCGCGUAGGCGGUCAGCACAGGUCAGUUGUGAAAUCUCCGGGCUUAACUCGGAAAGGUCAACUGAUACUGUGCGACUAGAGUGCAGAAGGGGCAACUGGAAUUCUCGGUGUAGCGGUGAAAUGCGUAGAUAUCGAGAGGAACACCUGCGGCGAAGGCGGGUUGCUGGGCUGACACUGACGCUGAUGCGCGAAAGCCAGGGGAGCGAACGGG